UACGAAGGGGGCUAGCGUUGCUCGGAAUCACUGGGCGUAAAGCGCACGUAGGCGGAUCUUUAAGUCACUUGUGAAAUCUCUGAGCUUAACUCAGAACGGCCAAGUGAUACUGCAGUGCUAGAGUGUGGAAGGGGCAAUCGGAAUUCUUGGUGUAGCGGUGAAAUGCGUAGAUAUCAAGAGGAACACCUGAGGUGAAGACGGGUUGCUGGGCCAACACUGACGCUGAUGCGCGAAAGCCAGGGGAGCAAACGGG
rnacentral:rRNA from 1 species